rnacentral:rRNA from 1 species
CGUAGGGUGCGAGCGUUAAUCGGAAUUACUGGGCGUAAAGCGUGCGCAGGCGGUUAUGUAAGACAGAUGUGAAAUCCCCGGGCGUCAACCUGGGAACGUGCAUUUGUGACUGCAUGGCUAGAGUACGGGUAGAGGGGGAGUGGAAUUCCGCGUGUAGCAGUGAAAUGCGUAGAUAUGCGGAGGAACACCGAUGGCGAAGGCAAUCCCCUGGACCUGUACUGACGCUCAUGCACGAAAGCGUGGGAGCAAACAGGAUU